rnacentral:tRNA from 1 species
GCCAGCAUGGCAUAGUGGUUUGAGUGUUGGACUAUUAUGACACUGGAGACCAGGGUUCAAUUCCCAGCUCGGCCA